CUAGCAGCUGGGGAGGGCAAGGCAGGAGGAUUGGGAGUUCAAAGCCAGCCUGAACAAUUUAGUGAGGCAUUUAGCAACUCUGUGAGACCCUGUCUCUAAAAAGUAAAAUACAAAAAAGGGCAGUGGAUGUGGCUCAGUGAUUCAGCACAUCCCUGGGCUCAAUAUUCAGUACAAAAAAAAAUAUAUAUAUAUAUAUAUAUUUUUUUUUUUUUUGUAAACUUGCUUAAGGCCUUGCUAAAUUGUUGAGGCUGACCUUGAAUUUGAAAUCCUCCUGCCUCAAGCUUCCAAACUGCUGGGAUUACAGGUGUGUACCACUAUGUCCAGUGUCUUGCAUUUUUAAUUUGUCCCUUUCUACAAGCUCAGUCUAGGGCUGGGGAUGUGGCUCAAGCGGUAGCGUGCUUGCCUGGCGUGCGUGUGGCCCGGGUUCGAUCCUCAGCACCACAUACAAAGAUGUUGUGUCCGCCGAAAACUAAAAAAUAAAUAUUAAAAAAUUCUCUCUCUCUCUCUCUCUCUCUCUCUCUCUCUGUCUUUAAAAAAAAAAAAGCUCAGUCUAUAGACAUAGUUUACUGUUUCUACCUCACCCUAUCUCUACCCCCAGAUAUCAUUUAAUUACUUGCUAUUCAUUGUCAUGCCUCUUGCAAAACUGAUCUAUUAUAACCAGCAGCCUCUACUUAUU
rnacentral:lncRNA from 1 species